UUGGAAGAUUGCUAUCGGAUGCUAUAGCUUUAUUUUCAAGACCACGGUGUGUGGUGGUUAUUUUAGCACCAAUAAGCUUCAGAAUUCACCCAUUUGGCCAUCGUGUACAUUACGUCUGAAAUAUUAACUUUCUUGUAGACCGGGAAUUUGAAUUUACCGUGGACGAUCUUUGGAGGUACGCGGGAGGAACUGUACCAUUUUCACGGCGCUCGUCAUGUUCAUUCACACGGUCUGCUGCGGAGGCUUUGGGCACUUUCCAUUGAUGCAGGACGACGUGUAAAUAUCAAUACAGAUUGACAUUUUAAGAUGAGAUGAAUUUGGCGACUGUUUUUUUGUUUGCGACAAAAGCGAGUUAUGGAUUGUGUCACUUUAUAUUAAAGUUUCAUCUCUGCAAAAAAGUGUUGACAUCACAUUUUUGACCAAUCCAAAUAUGUACGUCCCGUUUUAAUGAGCAACUGAAGAAACUGAGCCGGACUUCGGAUUUAAACGGUGACAGUUUGGGAGUAAAUGGUAUUUAGACAGUGGUCCGUUUUGGACCCAGGCCCCCAACGUUUGCUGCUUCGACAGUCCCUUGGGAAACGGAAAGUCGUGUCGUCUCAGUUGCAUCUAUAACAUCGUUUUCUAUCGUUGGUGUGCUGUAAAUUGUGGGUUACAAAACAUGACUCUGAAACUGGUUAUUUUAUCGAUGCACUCUAACUUAAUCAUGGACAGAGAAGUUGACGAUUGUAUCGAACCGUCCAAAAUGCUGCGUUCUUAAUGUAGUGAAGGCCGACUUAAGACUUUCCUUGGAUGUGUUCGGUUAAUCAAUGGAAAAUACGAAUGACAAAUGUGAAAUUUAAAAGAACAAAGAAACUAAAAUACGCGUAAAUUUAUUUUACAUAGGCCAUUUUUAUUGACUCGAGGAAGUGAACCAAAUGAAUGCAACUGGAAAAUCUACGAAAACCCGACCACCAAGAAAGAAGAGUCUUCAAUCUGUGUUGGUCCCAUCCAGGAAAUCCUGGGUGAAUAUGGCCUUAUUCAUGAUGUCUAUCACGAAGGCCUUAGCGGCCCGGUUACUCUUCGCAAUUCACGGUAUCGUUACGGUGUGGCGUGUGGCGAGCGUAAAGGGCAGUGCUGCUUACUAUCUCAUGUUGAUGCCGGUGGCCCUGAUGCCUGGUGAGAUGAUAUUCACUCUACAGACCACAGAUGCAGGGGAAUGGAAAUGGUUGUGCCCAAGCGCCCUACUUUACCUAGCCAGCGUGGUACCAGGACUGUGGGUGCUUCAGCUGGACUUGUACCAGAAACGAAUUGACUUUCGAGAUAACAUGAAACUGAUCGAGUGUUCGGCAAAGAUCGUCUACAAUCACACUUCAUUUACAAACCUCCAAGGGCUCCAGAUCCCCGUGAUUCUUGCUGAUGACGAGUGGGCAUUGGCACUGGAGCAGAUCUUGCUUUGUCUUCUCAUCCUCGGAAGGUGGCUUCUCCCAAAGGGCUCCCUCACACGGGAACAACUGUCCCAGCUUCUCAUGGUGUAUAUCGGUAUGGCUGCUGACAUCUUGGAGUUUUCCUUGGAGAAUCUUCGCGAAGAGCAAGUUGUGUGCAACAAGAGCAUUAUCAUGAUAAUACUCGCCUUCUGGAGCUGGAGUCUGCAACAGUUUGCUAUGGUCCUGACCUCCGUGGCGGGUCCCAAAAUCAGGGUCUUCAACAAGCGGCAAGAAACCCCUCGCAGUGACCGGGAGGAUGCCGCCGGGUCGGAACCGGGUGAGUCUCCGCCCGAGCACCACGUCAAUCAUAUGAAUAAAGGGUGCUGCUCUUCGGAGAUCUGGGCCCUGUGUAUCUCGUUGAUCAUGCAGGACGGGCCGUACCUCGGCAUGAGGCUAUACCUCAUCAUACGCUUCCAAAUCAUCAAUCAGAUGAUGCUCUUCUUCACAUUGAAGAACAUGAUGAUCUUCCUGCUUACCGUGUACCGGAUAUGCGUGCUGCACACGUCGAAGGGCGACAAGAAGCUAAAGGUCAAAGUUCGAGUUGACCCAGGAGAUGGAUUAAAGGGGCUGGUCCUACCACUGGAUAUUGGGCUGGGUGUGCCGCAGACGAUUGUCCUCAACGGGAAGAGGUCAAAGCAGAUCGAACCGGAAGUAGUUCAGAAGAACGGAAUUGUUAAUCAGGACAUAGAACAUACGUACGUUGUUGCUCACGUUGAUGAGCGGAUGAGAGGAAAACCGAUGAUCAGUGAUGACCAAAUUGAAGAAAUUGAACUUUGAGUCUGAGAAGCUGACGUCACCAGUUAAUGGAUUCCAAACCCCACCUUCUUCGCGUGAUAGCCUAGCCACAGUUGAAUUAUACUCAUCAUAAUCACCUCACAGUACCGCCAUAAAACUAUAUUUUUUGAUUAAAUUGAGGCAGAAAAUACAACCAACGAAACUCCUACAAAACAACAACUAAGGUUUGGAUCUCCCGUAAACAAAUGAACGUUGGAGCGGGAGAGGACUUGAAGCUGCUACCAAAUCCGAUCAACUCGGGCUGUUUUGGUUUUUGAAAGUGCAUUUCUUGCUACUCUGUAAACAAAAUUAACCACACAAUAAAGUAGCGAUAGUGGUGGAAAAAUCAUCUGAAUUUCAGAGUCUCAGAAUCACAACAAUGCCAGUUUUGGAGCCAGAUGUAGCGAAAACUUUGGGCGUGCAUCACAUGCGUGUGAAACAACACCGCUGAUGAACACGCAGUAAGACGAGUGCCAGUUUACCUGUAGUCACUAUGACCAUAGAGCAAGGAUGGCUAUGACUUUUGCUACGGGUGUUGCUCAGGGACGUCCUAUACUUCAACGCAUGACAACGCGGCGAUCAAACCGUAGCCACAGCCGCUAACUUCGGACACGGUCUUAACAUACAAUUUUGGACUCAAAAAAAUGUCAUAGCUGCUUGUGACGUAGCUGGCUGUGACGUCAUUACAAGGGAUCAACAGCAUUACAAUUAUUUUGUAUGUAGCAUUUACUCUCAAUCUGACAGUGAUAGCUUUACGUAUUAUAACUUUGAUAAUAAUGAACUUUAUAAUAAUGAACAGUUUUUAAAAGCGCAAAAUUACAAAGAAGUACAAUGAAGCGCUUUUGGAAAGUUAAAGAGUGAAACCAGGACUAUUAAUAAAAAAAAAAUAAAAAAAAAUACAGAAAGAACUACAAAAUGCAUACAAUGAAAAUACAAGUUACUAAACUUGAGUCUUCAAAUAAGGCUUAAAAUUUUAAUUGUUCUAGAGAGGAGCUUUCUUUUAUGCUAUUUUAGGGAGUGAAUUCCAGAGUUCAGGAGAUGCAACCUUAAAAGCUCUUGCCCAUAUUAUUUGGUGGAGGAUGGGAAAGGAGUGAGGAGAUUUUGUGAUUCAGAACGAAGCUUUCUAGUAGGGCAAUAGUCGUGGAAUUAUUCUUUGAGUCAUUGAGGAGCUAUACCUUGUUUGCAUUUGAAUAUCGUAGGAGUUCGACAAUUAUUCUCUGUUUAACUAUUCUCUGCUUUCGAAACAAAAUCAAAACAAUCGAUUGACUAACUUUCUGAGAGCCAUGGAUUGUGAUGUUCAGCGAAGUCAGUAUACUUUUCUAGGUUAGUUAUUGUAUUUAGGCCUAUUAUUAAUUUAUAAACUAAAUUAAAUAAUAUUCGUUGUUUGAUUGGUUCAAAAUAUGUAUGUUUCUGUGUCAUAAAGAUGUUAUACUAACCAUUAUUUGCAAUAAAUUGUUACAUGAAAUAAUUUAUAAUCACAAUUGUCAAUGUUGAGAGAGGUAUAGUUAAUAUCUCUUGUUGCGAAGGUCGUGGGUUUGAAUCCCUCGAGCAACAUGCCUGUGAUUGUUAACAUGUAAUGUACCAUGUAAUACCGUUGUCACAAAUAGUAAUUAUGAAUACCAAAUUAAUCAAAAUGUGAUACCUUUAAAUAGCUCAAAAUAAGUAAGCAAUAAAACAGGUAAAGGUCCCCCAACUAAACUAAAUUACACAAUGACAUGAAGUGUAGCCUACAUGCUUAAAGACACUGGAUACUAUUAAAUGACCACAAAUUUGGCCAAAUGGCGGAAUUUUUGAAUGCUGUAGCAUGCCAUUUUUGCUAUCAGUUUUUGGUACUGUCUAAUACUCUACACCGACUCUAUGUUAGGUUUAUUAUUAAAUCUGAAAUAUCAUAAAUAUUCAUUGUGUUUGUUGAUUGCCGGAAGAGUAUUUGCGUAAACAGAAUCUAAGCGUGCCUGAUAUCGUCAAUAGUAGGUUACCUGGCGGUGUGGUGGAGUGGUGAUGGCCCCUGUUGCGUACAGUCAAUCAAUACAUGAAUCAAUUAAUCAAUACAGGUAAACACAUACCAAUAUGAAGACCCCCCUGGUGGGGGGGGGGGGGGUGACUUCCACUAUCAAAAAAAUGAAAAUAAUUGUAAAGCGCAAACUCCACAAAGUAUGUUUUGCCGUACGCGGAACCGAAGGAGGGGUGUAUGACUCUAUACACGCCCUUCUUCCAGACACACAAAGUACUUUCCAGUAACAGAAGACCGUAAUCAAUAAAUGGCUUUUGACCAAAGCAUGGUAUCUAAGUAUAACACUUCUGUCGCUAGAAAAUACCCCAAAGACGUUAAGUCCCAUUCCCAUGCAGAGUUUAGCCUCCAUACGAGGGCACAAAAUCGAUCAAACUUUCACGCUCGGUUUUGCACAUUGGUUGCCAACGCCCUUCUACUUAGUAAGGAAAUGAGGUAAUGGUGUACACAAAACUAUGACAUUUAUUACAAAUAAUAUUAGGUUUGGGUAAGUUUGUCCAUAUCAACCAAACCAAACAGUACACUUCACCCAGUAGUGCCCACCAUAUCUCAAAAAAGAGCUGAAUAAGCACAAGUAUAGCCAAAGCAAUGCUUACCAUCAGAAAAAAAGGUUACCAGCCAUGAUACCACGGCACAUUAACAAUUUGAGACUGGUAUGCUGCUCAUUUCUGCAAUCAGACCAACUGUUAAGACUAUUGGUAAUUACCAUAGGGCUAUGGUAAUUUCUUAAAAUAAUUAUUAGCAUAAAA